rnacentral:rRNA from 1 species
UACAGAGGGGGCGAGCGUUAUUCGGAAUUAUUGGGCGUAAAGGGCGCGUAGGCGGCCAUGCGUGUCUUCCGUGAAAUCCCUCGGCUUAACUGAGGACGUGCGGAAGAAACUGCAAGGCUCGAGUCCGGGAGAGGGGGGUGGAAUUCCUAGUGUAGAGGUGAAAUUCGUAGAUAUUAGGAAGAACACCAGUGGCGAAGGCGGCUCACUGGCCCGGUACUGACGCUGAGGCGCGAAAGCGUGGGGAGCAAACAGG